rnacentral:rRNA from 1 species
GAAAUUCCAAUCGAACCCGGAGAUAGCUGGUUCUCCCCGAAAUAGUUUUAGGACUAGCCUCAAGUUAGAUACCUGGAGGUAAAGCACUGAAUAGCCUAGCGGCCGAGAGGUUAGCGAAGCUUAUCAAACUCAGAAUGCCAGAGUAUUGAUGCUUGGGAGUCAGACAGUGUCAGAUAAAUGUCAUUGUCAAAAGGGAAACAGCCCAGAUCUACAGCUAAGGUCCCAAAGUCAGGUUAAGUGGAAAACGAUGUGAAGAUACGUAGACAACCAGGAUGUUGGCUCAGAAGCAGCCACACAUUCAAAGAGUGCGUAAUAGCUCACUGGUCGAGCGUCUUUGCGCGGAGAAUUUAACGGGGCUAAACCUGACACCGAAGCUUAGGCAAUACAGCAAUGUAUUGGGUAGGGGAGCGUUGUAUACGCGGUGAAACAGUAGCGCAAGCGGCUGUGGAGUGUAUAGAAGUGAGAAUGCCGGAAUGAGUAGCGCGAAUGCAGUGAGAAUCUGCAUGGCCGAAAGCCUCAGGUUUCUGGAGGAAGGUUCGUCCGCUCCAGGUUAGUCGGGAGCUAAGGUGAGGCCUAACGGCGUAGCCGAUGCACAGACGGUAGAGAUUCCGUCACCACCAAAAGAGUUAAACACAGGGACACAUUUGAAGUCUCGGAGCCGGGUGUUGGUUCCGGUAGCGAUCGAGGGAAGUUAGUACCGAAGUCCGGGAUGGAAGAUGGCGAGAAAAGCUGUGUGUAUUUCUGCGGUGCCCGUACCGCAAACCGACACAGGUAGGUAGGAAGAAGAUUCUAAGGCCAACGGGAGAAGGGUUGUUAAGGAACUCGGCAAAUUGACCCCGUAACUUCGGGAGAAGGGGUGCUCCAGAGAUGGAGCCGCAGAGAAUCGGCCCAAGCAACUGUUUACCAAAAACACAGGUUUGUGCUAAAUCGAAAGAUGACGUAUACGAGCUGACGCCUGCCCGGUGCUGGAAGGUUAAGAGGAGAUGUGCAAGCAUUGAAUCGAAGCCCCAGUGAACGGCGGCCGUAACUAUAACGGUCCUAAGGUAGCGAAAUUCCUUGUCAGGUAAGUUCUGACCCGCAUGAAAGGCGUAAUGAUUUGGGCACUGUCUCAACAGCCCGCCCGGCGAAAUUGUAGUACCGGUGAAGAUGCCGGUUACCCGCGACAAGACGGAAAGACCCCAUGGAGCUUUACUGUAGCCUAAUAUUGGGUUUCGAUGUUGCAUGCACAGGAUAGAUGGGACACAGGGAAACAAGUGCUUUGGCAUUUGUGGAGUGGCCGUUGGGAUACCAUCCUUGCGAUAUUGGAAUUCUAACCUGCGCCUUUGAAUCAAGGCGGGGGACAUUGUUAGGUGGGCAGUUUGACUGGGGCGGUCGCCUCCUAAAGAGUAACGGAGGCGUUCAAAGGUUCGCUCAGCUUGAACGGAAAUCAAGCAAAAGAGUGCAAACGCAGAAGCGAGCCUAACUGCGAGACUGACGGGUCGAGCAGUAACGAAAGUUGGAGUUAGUGAUCCGGUGGUAUGUGAGUGGAAAUGCCAUCGCUCAACGGAUAAAAGUUACCCUGGGGAUAACAGGCUGAUCUCCCCCAAGAGUCCACAUCGACGGGGAGGUUUGGCACCUCGAUGUCGGCUCAUCGCAUCCUGGGGCUGAAGUAGGUCCCAAGGGUUGGGCUGUUCGCCCAUUAAAGCGGUACGCGAGCUGGGUUCAGAACGUCGUGAGACAGUUCGGUCCCUAUCUGUCGUGGGCGCAGGAUAUUUGAUGGGAGCUGUUCCUAGUACGAGAGGACCGGAGCGGACGUACCUCUGGCGCACCAGUUGUUCUGCCAAGGGCAUAGCUGGGCAACUAUGUACGGAUCGGAUAAACGCUGAAAGCAUCUAAGCGUGAAGCCGACCCAAAGAUAAGAUAUCCCAUUGUUUCAAACAAGUAAGACCCCUUGAAGACUACAAGGUUGAUAGGCACGAUGUGUAAGUGGAGUGAUCCAUUCAGCAAGCGUGUACUAAUAGGUCGAGGGCUUGACCAC